rnacentral:tRNA from 1 species
GAGACUCAACCUACGAACUGCUAAAUCGUAAAACCGAGACUGAACCCUCGGACCUCUC